rnacentral:RNase_P_RNA from 1 species
ACAGGUGGCCGGAUAGCUGCGCCGCGGAAAGGAAAAUCCGAGGGUGAGGAAAGUCCGGGCUUCAUGGAAACAAAAUACCGGAUAACGUCCGGCCGGAGUGAUCCGAGGGAAAGCGCCACAGAAAAUUACCGCCGAGGCAUGCUUCGGUAAGGUUGAAAAGGCGAGGUAAGAGCUCACCGCCGCUUUAGCAAUAAGGCGGGCAUCAGGCAAGCCCUAUUUGAUGUAAGACCAAAUGAGGUGUAUCGGGGAUUCCCGACAGAGCGUUUCCACUCUGUCCAAAGGUAGGUCGCAAGAGCAAGUCGGUAACGGCUUGGUAAGAUGAAUAGCUAUCGGUGUUAUCUUUGCUUGCAAAGCAAUGACAUAUACUAAACCCGGCUUACAGGCCACCUUGUUUU